rnacentral:lncRNA from 1 species
GCGAGGAUUUUGUCUGCUGACAUUGCAUACAAGUGAAUUGCAUGUGUCACAUAACAAGCAAAGUGAAAAUGCAGUAAAUUAUUCUCCAGAGAGUAUCAUGUCAUUUGCAUUCACAAACAUAAUGUGCAUGCAUGAAAAUGACCAGACAAUUUCAUCUACUUUUACGUGUUGUUUCCUUUUUUUUUUUUCUUUUUUUUUUUUGUUGAUAAUUUCAUCUGCUUGAUUGCAAGAUUUUAAAUCAUGAACUGUUAGAAAUGGAAAGGGUUUUGGCAGUUGGACCUGGUAAAAGCCUUUGUCAUAUCUGGGCGUGUAAGAAGCCUUGAGAGCAGCAAACCGGAUAUGGUUCGCAUAGGACCCGCAUUUGAAAGGUAGUCUUUAGAGAUUUCCAGAAUUUUUUGAACAAGUGGAGGUGGCUCACCUCCAGCAUAGUUAUUAUUCCCAGCACUAGUAUCCAUAGAAGCUAUAUCAAAAGGGAUCAAUACAAGAAUGUAGAGCCACAAUAGUAUCACACACUUUGCCUCCAUCUCUCCAGUACUUUCUUGUCGUAAUGAUGUUCCAGCUUGUGUAUUAUGGCAUUUCUCCAGGAGAGAUACUGCAAGCUCCAGGUCAGAAACCUGAUGAGGGAAGAACUUGACAACAGCCUUGUAGCCACAGACUGUCACCAGAGAAUAUAUUAUGAUACACACAGGCUUAAUUACUUCAAGAAUCUCUUCCGAGGCAGCAGCUUGUUCGACAGCUUUUGAACGGACAAUGGACAUUAGGGGCGAAACCAUACUCUCGAGGUAAGGCUCCAGUAAUUGACCUUGCUCCUGAUAUUUGUCCAUCUGCAAAUCAUAUUUUAAACAAAUAAUUAAUGUACUACCAAAGAAAAAAUAUUUUUUAUAAAAUUUGCAUUAGCUCUAAGCAACUGGUGUUUUAGGAAUUCUGAAAGCAAAGUACUCAAUCAUUAAGUACUUUUAAGAGUUUGGACUUGGCAUCAUCAAGAGUGUAGUGUCCUACAUCAACAUGAGUAAAAGAUGAGCAGAAAUUUGAAACAAUACAUUCUUCAAAUUUCUUCUCAACAAAUACAUCUCUUCACAGUCCCCUCUCAAAAAACUAAAUCUCUCCACAGUUCCUCUACAAGCUCACUUUUAGACUUAGACAUCAAGACCAGCAAAAUUCAGAUCUUUUCUCGCCGAUGAAUCAUCAUAUUAGUUAAUCAUACAAACAGCUAAGAAGUCCCACAUCGGUAGAGGGAUGGGAAUUUGGUCUCGUUAUAUGGACUUGGACAAACCUCCCCUCUUGAGCUAGCUUUUGAGGUUGAGUUAAGUCCAGGUGUCAUAUCUUUACAUGGUAUUAGAGUCAGGUGCAUCCCAAUUUGUUGUUCACCGAUGUUAGGCCCCCAUUUAGAAAUGUUCACGCUCCAGUUGAGGUCUGGCCGUGCGGGGGAGUGUUAAGAAGUCCCACAUUGGUAGAGGGAUGGGAAUUUGGUCUCCGUUUAUGGACUUGGACAAACCUCCUCUCUUGAGCUUGCUUUUGAGGUUUAGUUAGGCUCAGGUGUCAUAUCUUUACACAAACAAAUUGUCCUUAACACACAAAAUAAAAAAUGCUUCCUGCAAUUCAAUAUAGAAGGUGGUGUUCGAUUGAACUUGGAAUUUAAGAAAUAGAGUAAGACUUUUCACUCAUAAGCAAAAUAUAUAGUCCUACAAAAAGUAUCCUCGGAACUAGUGGUCUUCAACAUGCCAUAUUAAUUUGCAUAAGAGCAUGUCAUUAAGGGCAAGGUAGAAAUGCUAAUACAACAAACUUCCAAAUAUAAAUAGGAGUCGAUCUUUUAAGAGAGAUCAAGGAUGUAUGACUGUCAUAUAAAAUAGAAAAGAGAGCAUAAUUAUCAAGCUUGAAGUUCAGUAACAUUCUUCAGUCACAAAUGUAGUUUUACAGUUCCUUUAGAAGCUUAGUUUCUAAUCAAAUCACACAAAGUUUAAAUCUUUGGUCUAAAUAUAUUGCCCAACACCCUUCGGGGUGGCCCAGUGGUUUGAGCUUGGGACUUCCAUGUUGGAGGUCGCACCUGGCUUGCCUAGUGCAGGUUAACUCUCUUGUGUGGUUUGCGAGCUAUUGUAUAGGAGCGGGGGUUUUACCCUGUGCGCACCCAAAGGGUAGCGGCUGCGGGUUUCCCUUGUCAUAAAAAAAAAAUAUAUAUUGCCCAACAAUAACAACAUCCAGAAUUAUUCCCCAAUCUCAAACUAGUUGCAGUUGGCAAUAUAAGUCCCCUAUAUCUAAUAUGCUCCAUCUAUGUUUCUUUCAUUCAACUAUUCAAUUGUUUGUCGUAUAGGACAAAUUAGGAAUAAAUUAAGACGAAAAGUAUUUUUUAAAAUCUGAUGCCUUUUCUUAGACUGUAAUACAGUCUUUAACCAAACUUAAAAAACUCCAUCAAGCACCAAACCAAUGUAAAUGUGCUAAUAACAAAAUAUCCCGAUCCCAACUAGUCGGGAUUGCCUAUCCAUACAUUCCUCCUGAAUCAUAUCUUACCCUUUACUAAGUACGCAAUGAUCCCAAGAAAUUGAGGUACUUUAAGACAACUUACUUCCAUCAUGUGAUCUGUCAUGUACACAUGUUCCCUUUUAACACCUUUAAUCAUCACGGUGUCACACCAAUGGGUCAAUGUCCUUGGAAGUCUACGUAAGACACAAUUAAAGCAUCUCACAUAACCUCUCACUUUUUGCUCUAUAUGUGCUAUUGUACAUCAUGUUAAUCUUUUCUAAUCUUGUACGAUCACACGUCAUCUUAACAUUCAUAUUUUUGCAUUACUCGUCUUGGAUACAUUAGGCACUUAGGCCUUGGAGGCCAAAUCUCACUUCACAUAGUAUCAUUAGGCUCCCAACCAUUCUAUAUAACUAGUAUUUCCUUUAGAUAUGUAUCCUCUUAUCACAUAAAUCCAUCCUACUCUAGCUCUCUGUGUUUUUCAUCUUUCAUGCCAUUCUGAGGAUGAGCCAAAAUAUCUGAACUAUUUGCAUUUCUAUUAUCAAACAACCAAAAAAAAAUUAAAAAACCAAAGUUAAAUUUUACAGGUAUUUCAAGUACAAGCAUAGCACUGAACUAAUAAUUAUGCAGUUCAAACAGACAAAAUAGAUAGAGAGAGAUUACGAUAGAUCGGAUCUUAUGCACAGAGGAGAUAUCAGAGACACGGCCAUUGGAAAUGAUAUCGUCGAGGAGUGACUUAACAAGCUUCCAUUCCUGUAGAAAAUAUCUCUGCAGAACACUUUCUUUAGAAUCGUGUUCAUCGUCUUCUUCAACUUCGGUAACUCCCAUUUUCAAUUGUUCCUCCAUCUUCAAGCUUUCUUCUACUCCGUCAGCCGCUAACAGAGACACCGAGAAGAUACACUGUGACGAUUUGCCUCAAAAAAAUUUACUAGUAUUUGAUUUGAUUUUGCCGCUGCUAUUGCCGGACUGAGAUUCAUCUGCUUAAUUAACGUCGGGGUUAACUGAUAAUCGCUGUCCAGCCCACAAUUGAUUUUACUAUGUCCAAUUUCGUUUAGUUUAUGGGCUCAUGAAUGAUUGAAGCAGAUUAGAAUUUUGUUGGGCUCUUUUGGUAAAUGGAAAGAGCUAGCCCACGUAUGGGGUCAAAUUUACACUACAUUUUAGAGCUCAAUUAUCAUACAUAACUUUAGUUUCUUUCAAAAUUUAUCAUUAGUAAAUUUUAGGUUUAGCAAACAUAAAAAUCAUAUUUGUAUGCUAUAGUUAUAAUUUGUAUAAUUGCGCUCCGUAACAAACUUUAUGUUUUCUAUGACUAUUAAUUUGUAUAUUUCGGUAUACAUAUACAUAAAAAUUUGUAUUUGUAUAUUUCGGUAUACAAACUAAAACACAGUAAUUAUAUAUAAACAAAAUUACUACAUAUAGACAACACAUAUGUAUACCGAAUGGGUCUAUUUAUUUUGGGCGGUAUACAAAUGGAUCCUGAAAUUAAUUUCUAUACAACACAUAUGUAUACCGAAUGUGUCUAUUUGUAUAUUCGGUAUACAAAUGGAUCCUGCAAUUAAUUUUUAUACAACACAUANNNNNNNNNNNNNNNNUGCAUUUGUAUAUUUCGGUAUACAAAUGGGAUGGCAAAAAACAUAUAAUGUUUGCUGCGAAUUACAAAUAAAAGAAACUAUGGCUAUAUCAUUUAAUUUGAAUUAACAGUUUGCUACUUCAUACAAUUUUCCCAAUAGUUUGUUUUCAAAAUGUAUCAUUUGUAGCAAAUCUUUUAUUACCAAUUUAUCAUACAUUUAUAUGUGCGACGAUUAAAAUCUUUGUUAAUUGUAUUUGUUGGCAUGGCAAAUCAAUCUAUGUUAAUUGUUCAAGGAAAAAUUAAAGAAAUCCCACAUUUUAGUUUACUUAUUACCAUUAUCCUCUAUAAGUUUUACAAAUCUCCAAAAUCCCUCAUUUUCGCGCAUCAGAUUAGUGUAUCUCGCGCAUCAGAUUAAUGUAUCAACGCUUAUAUUAUUGUAUCUCGCGCAUCAGAUUAUUGUAUCAUGUAUAAAAUGUACAUCAAAUUAGUGUAUCAUGUAUAGAAUGUAAUGUAUCUUACUUAACGAUUAAUGUAUCUCGCACAUCAGAUUAAUGUAUCAACGCUUAUAUUAUUGUAUCUCGCGCAUCAGAUUAUUGUAUCAUGUAUAAAAUGUACAUCAAAUUAGUGUAUCAUGUAUAGAAUGUAAUGUAUCUUACUUAACGAUUAAUGUAUCUCGCACAUCAGAUUAAUGUAUCAACGCUUAUAUUAUUGUAUCUCGCGCAUCAGAUUAUUGUAUCAUGUAUAAAAUGUACAUCAAAUUAGUGUAUCAUGUAUAGAAUGUAAUGUAUCUUACUUAACGAUUAAUGUAUCUCGCACAUCAGAUUAAUGUAUCAACGCUUAUAUUAUUGUAUCUCGCGCAUCAGAUUAUUGUAUCAUGUAUAAAAUGUACAUCAAAUUAGUGUAUCAUGUAUAGAAUGUAAUGUAUCUUACUUAACGAUUAAUGUAUCUCGCACAUCAGAUUAAUGUAUCAACGCUUAUAUUAUUGUAUCCGUUUGAAGGAUUUCUGUAAUUAUAAACUUUGAAGGGAUAUGUUGUAAUUUUGCCUUAAAAGUAUGUGAUUUAUGUAAUUUGCCCAUUGUUCAACGAAUACAAUCAAGGCAAAAUACAUAAAAAUGCAUUGAAUAUACAAGAUACAAACAAUAAAAAUACAGGAUUAUAAACUAUAUAACCACAAAAAUACAAUAAGAUACAUCCGUAAAAUACAGUCAAACAAGAACACGAACAACAAAAAUUAUAUCCCGUAUCUGAAAAGUUAGAUAUCUGGUGCAAAAUAUAUAUAUGUGAAGUUUAGAGAGGAUAUACAAUAAUACAAAUAACAAAAGGUGGAUGGUACAAUCAAGGUAAAAUAUCAAAAUUAGUGAUUUGCCGGAAAAAUUUUCGUUCAAAAUACAGAAAAACAAUCCAGAACAAAAAAAAGUUUUCGAUGCCAUAAACUUUGUCCUUCCUCAAAAUAUAGUGAUUUGGUUAAGGUUGUGUGUAUAUCGAUCAGUUUCUCCAUAUUUACUUGUGGAAUUAUAUCAGGAAUAUUAUUGUUGAUUAAGUUAAAUUCUUUAAAACGGUUUUACAUAAUCCUUCGACUUGAGUAAUUUUUUGAGUGAAAUAACAAAAGAUAAGUGAUUUUUCUCAUUAAAAAGGGUGACUUUAUUCACUUAUUUUGAGUAUAUAGUUCACAUCAUUUAAUUAAGCAAUAUGAACUCUUAGAAAAAUAUAUCGCAACCCUAACGAAACAAAAAUACUUUCCUUUCUUUUACAAGAUAUGCAAAAUAUCAUAUUCACACAUUGAUUGAUGAUAUUAUUCAAGUUUACAAACAUAUAGUAUAUGCUAUAUAUGUAUACACCACCAAGACUCAAAAGUAAUUCCCAUCACAACUAGCUAGCUAACUAAAACACUCAUAAAUAUUUGUUUUUUAUAUAUAUAUGCAACCUUGGUUCUUGCUUUAAGGUUUAUUUUUAAAGCCACCAUUAGAAUUAGCUCUAUGCCAAGCUGCAAAUCCAUUAAACAAAACCAACGUAUUGCUAGUAACUUGUGCAACAUUAAGUACCCUAGCUUUAAUCAUAGCCAUCCUUUUACCACCCAUUGGGUACCCAUAAAAUCCAUCCAUACAAAUAUAUGUAUCAGUCAAUACAGUACUUAGCCAAGUUUGCACAUUGCUUUGACACCAAGCAAAAUCCCCUUCACUAUAUUCUGCACUCUUCAUGUGUUCAAAUUCUUUGAAUGAAUUUGUAAGCUCAGAAACACUAUCUGACAUUUGAUCUAAACAAUCUUUAACCGCUUGAUAUUCCUUAGCCUUUUUUUGUUUCAGUUCUUUCGACACUAUUUCCAAGUAAUUUUUUGUGUAUACUGCCUUAACUAUACUCACUUUUAAAGCAGCUUGAGCUAUUUCUUGAGGAUCUUGUGACGUUGGAUUUAAAUGUGUUGCUAAUGAACUCACACAUAGACCUGGAUAACGAGUGUGCUUGCAUUGUGACUCUAUGAAUUUAGGCACGAUUGCAUUCGAUUCAACAAUAAAGAUAGAAAAAAUGAGAAGUAAAAUUAGGGGAAGGACAAGUUUUUCCAUAUUUUUUUUUGGAGAAGUAUAACAAGGAAAGAUUAACCUAAGAGUAUAGAAUUAUAUGAAGAGAGAAUGAAUUUUGUUGUGUUGUGUUUGUUUGAUGGGAAAAUUGUAAAGGAGGUGCUAAGGUUUAUAUAGAAGCUAAGGGCUAUGACAUGAAUAUAAAUGAUCAUGAGAAGUUUAAUUAUAUUAAUGCACACUCAUUCUUGCUUAAUAUUCGGUAUUGACCUUAUACACCCUUUAAGAAAAUUUUAAUUUAUUAAAACUAAUCUUAUUAAUGAUAUUUUGAAAUUUUAAAUUUGACUGCUAUUAUUUAAUUAAUACUAAAAGUAGUAUAGAAAAAAGAAAACUCUCUUAAUUUGCUAAAACAUAUCGAUAAAAUUGAAAUAUUUAUUUUUAAUAUAAGAAUCAAGUAAAAUAAAACGGAGGGAGUAAUGCAUAAUGCAUAAUUAUUUUAUGUGAGUCAAUUUUUUGGGGAAGGUGUUGAUGUUGGGGUUCUAGUAAACACAAACCUUAAUUCUUGUCGGAGCAAUGUCCUAUUUACGUAACUAAUUAUGAGUAUUGAGUUAUUGCUUUGACACCCAAAAAGUAGGAAAAGAUUAUAUUUUAAAGAAAAAUCUUUUUGGCAAAAAAUUUGGUCAGAAUGGUAAAAUAACAUAUUUCAUAUUAUGUUAUUUUAUAUUUUUGAAUAUUUUUACCCUUUUAACUUUAAUAUCUUUUAAUUAAAAAAUGAAAAAAAGAUCAAUUUAUUUUAAAAUAAAAAGGAUAUUAUAGACUUUUUAAAUUUCUGAUCGGCCAAAUUUUCUGGCCAUUUAGCAUUAUUCAUAUCUUAAAUCAACUAUGUUAAUGUGCGUAAUUAACAACAAUAAAUGUGUAGAAUGUUAAAAUUUUUACUGAUAUUAAUUAAUUGUCAUUAGAUUUAGUGUUACUAUAAACUUAAAUGACAUUUACAAAAAAUGUCAAAAUAUAAUUGUUACUAGUAAUUGUCUUAUAAAAAAAUAUUUAACUAUAAUUAAGUUAUUAUCAUUAAUUUAUUACUGCUAGAAAUCAUUUUUUGUAUAGUAACUUUUCAUAAUUUUUUAUAUACGUAAUGCAAUUUUUUUUGAAAGGUACUCACCUGACCCGAACCCAAAAACAUUCCAUUCUUUUUUAUUAGUAAAAAAAUGUAUGUACUAAGCUAGAAAUUGAUCCCUACCCAAGACCGGUUCAAUGCUUACAAAACUAAGAUAUAUGUUCCAUUAUAAAAUUUAAAAUGUUCUUUAUUUUUUAAAAUUUUAUGUUAAGUUGACAAAUAAAUUAAAAGAGAAGAGAAUAGCAAAUUGCAUUUUAUGUUUGUUUAGGUGAUUUUCAAGCAACUUCAAAUUACUUAUCGAAUCUUCUUGCUAUUAUUUCGAUUGAGAAAACACACUACUAGGGUCGACCCCUACGCUACCAAUUAUUACUCUUUUGACUCUUUUUCAAUCAUUCUCCUGAAAAAUGUAUAGCGAAAAAUAAAAUAUAUGAUGAUUAGCUUGAAUUUUAAAAACUUUCCUUAUAUUGAACUAUGAAAAAAAUAUUAGAAAUUUACUAAAUAUAAACUAGAGAGAGUAACGAAUAAGAAUUAAUAAAUUAUUGGGAUUGAAAACAUAUGGUCAAGGAUUUUUUUUUUUUCAAGAGAAGUAGAAAAAAGAAAUUGAUAAUGCAAGAUAAAGCCAAAAUGGCAAAAUAGAGCAAAUGAUAUAUAAACCAAUUUACACCGAGACAAAGAAAAUAAUAUUACAUGCGAUAUCUCUAUGUAUUUUAUAUAAUAAGUAUAACUUAGGACCUUAAGUUAUGUUCACAUGAAUGAGAAUUUGACUUUGAUUUCUGUAACGUUGUGCCACAUGCCAGAAGACCAUAGUAUUUACAAUUGUAAUUUAAUUAGUCCUUCACGUGCAAUUAAAUAUUAUUCCCUUCGUCCAUCUUUAUUUUUUCCAUCCUAAUUAGAUAUGACAAUUUUAAUAGAUCGCUUUAUAAACAUAAUAAAUUAAAUAUUUUGAAAAAAAAUAUAAGAGUAAAUUGUGAUAGUUAUCUUUUGAUUUUUGCAACUGAUAAUAAAAAUAAAAAUUUAUUAUUUUUAAUAUAGUGGACGAUGAAGUAAUAAUAACUUCUAAGAAGAGAGAGAUAAGGUUGGGUGUAGUAGACACAAACCUUAAUUCGUGUUAGAGUCGGUCGUAAACUUAGGUGGAGAGGAUUAUUAUUCAACGUUUUACUAGCUUGUGCUGAACAGGCUUUUUUAUCCGUGCAUACCGCAACUUGUCUUGCACAAAAAAAAAAACAAAUAAAUAAAACAUGGACUAAAUAUUAGACCAAAUUAUGCUACUACAUCAAGCUAUUUAUUUCAUAAUACAUCUACAAUUAUUAAAAUAAAACUACAUCUAAAUGGAUGAUAUAUCGUUUUACCUUUUUUAUUUUUUCAAUUACGUUUGUAACAUAAAAUAGAUCAUUUUUUUACCCUCCCUAGGAGCUCCCACCCCUUUUGCUUCCUUGGUGACUCGAACUCGCAACCUUCGGGUUGGAAGUGAGGGGUGCUUAUCAUCAAUGGCGUAGCCAGAAAUUUCACGAAGGGUGUCCAAGAAUCGCAUAGGUAAAAAAAUAAUUUGACGAUGGGUGCACUAAAAUUUUGAAAUCAAACUACGUAACAUUAACAAUUUAUUUUUUAAUUAAAAAUUAAUACUAAAAUUUUUAAAAUCAAACCACGUAAAAUUUAGCUUGAAUUUUCUUGUUUAUUUAAUAGGAAGUGAACGAAAAAGAAAAAAGAGAAAGAGAAAAUUCAGUUUAUAAUGAAACUUCCAGUAGUAUCAUUGUUGGAUUUUAUGAGAAUAACAAUUCAAUCAUGGAGUGCUAAACAUAGCGAAGAGGCUGGGCAAACCAAAACUGAUCUUACUGAACCAUACAAUAAAAUACUUGAAGAUAACCGUGAGAUAUCUCACCGUAUGACAGUAAGUAUCUAAUUCUCUGAAUAUUUGCAAUGUUAAUUUUUGAAUAUUUUUGUAACUAAGCAAAUUCUGUAUGUCUUUUGAUACUUUUGAUACAUGAAAAUUGUUUUAGGUAAGCCCAUCAACACAAUUCCUACAUACAAUAACUGAUGGAGCAAGACGUUUCACCGUGUGUCUACGAAGUAGAAAAUGUAGUUGUGGACGUUUUCAACUGGAUGAGAUACCAUGUGGUCAUGCUAUGGCUGCAAUUGCACACAGAAAUAAACAUGGAGAGGACUAUUGUUCUGAGUUCUACAGCAAUAAAAAUUUCCAAGACGCGUAUGCAAUUCCAGUUGAACCUCUUCCAUGUGAGAGUACAUGGGAAAUACCGUCUCAUGUGCUGGAUCAAAAAUUAUUACCACCAGAUUAUAAGAGAGGGCCAGGGAGACCACCAAUGGAACGCAAGAAGUCAUAUAGCGAAGGAAAAUUCAAGAGGGCCAAGGUAACAUGCAGCAUAUGUCGUCGCGAGGGGCACAAUAGGACGACAUGUGGUAGAUAUCCACCAGAUGCAUAGUUUAUGAUCAUAUGUUUGUGAUUGUUCUAUUUAUUUCUUUGUUUACAAACAAUUGAACUGUUUUUUGUUAUUUCUAGGUGAUUCAUCUAUGUUAUUAGUAUGUUUUAAGGAUUCUAUUUAAGUUUAUGAAAUACAAUUUAGUAAAAAAUAUUAUAAUUAUAUAUUUUUUGUUACUGUGACAUAAAAUUUUAAAGAUACCUGCAUCUGAAAUGUUCAUUCCAAAAUUAUCAACUCCUUGAUAUGUACUGCAUCUAAAUUUAAAGAUGGAACAAUUAAUAUGGGAAUGAUCUGUAGAUCACUAUAAAAUCAUACAAGUCAUAUUAGAAAUUAUAACGAGUAUACAACAGUUAUUAUAACAGGUUUUUGAGAAUAAUCACUUUGUAUAAUUUUGAUAUAUAAAGUGAUUAUAAUUGAGGAACCAAGUUUCUAUAUAAUUUAUAAAGACUCAAUACGUCUAUUUGGUGAAUUCUUAUUAACAUAAUCAACUCCUUGAUUUUGCGUUUAUUUAAGUGAAACAAAUAUUUUAAGAAUAUUUAAUUGUUCGCAAAAAACCGUAUAAGCAGCAUUGAGAGAUAAGCAUUAAAUAUGAUAAUUAUAAGCAACUUGAUUGAAUCAUCAAAAAAAGCUUUCAAAACUUUCGUAUGAUAUCAUCCUUUGUGUUUAAAUCUUUCAACACUUCGCAUAAUCAUCAAUCUUUCAAUACAAACUAUAUUCCAUAGUGUAACUAUUUUUAUAUAUAAUAGUUGUAUAACCAUGGAAUGACUGCUUUAAUUAAUAAUAUUGCUAUAUAGAAUCGUUACAAAAUAAUUUGUACACUAGUGAUUAUAUAUCAAAUAUAAAUUCACAAUCCACAACUAAAAAUAAUACAUAAUAGUUUUCAUCAAAACUUUAAAAAUAAAACUGCCACAAAUCUUUUUUAAUACCAUAUACUAACUGCCAGAAAUCAAGUUCACAAUCACCAACUAAAAAAAACAUUUACCGUCUUCAUCCAGAAAUAUUCAAAACCAAAAAUAUAAGACAGAUAAUCCUUUAAAAUGAAAAAACUUAAAUAAAUGCCAUAAUCCAUCAUAUUUAUUUGUAGACUCUUGGUGUAGGAUUUGGCAUCUGAAACUUCUGGCAAUCCCUAACAAUAUCUCUGUUAAUACUUGGUUCACCCAAUUUGCUUGCAAAUUUGCCACUCACCUCACCUUCACUUAUAGCACCUUGACUAAGUUUUGAUGUUGCAUAUUCCCAAAGUAAUGCACCAUAUCUCUUACGGUGAAGUUUUGGCAUGAAACAUUGACUUGGAAUUUCAAAAACUCCAUGUGUAAUAAGUUCAGCAAAUACGCAUGCAUAAAGUCCACUAUCACUGAAAACAUUGAAAAUCUUAAAACUGGUAGAUAAAAAAUAAAAAUAAAAAUUUAAAAAAUUAAACUUAUGAACUAGAAACAUCAAAUAUUAUUUAUAAAAUAAACAGGAGGCACUGGCAGGUCGGAAUUGAAUCUUUUAAACCUAAACUAACACAUAAAAUUGAGCACAGUCCACCUAUGGCUAUCAACUUCACUUCUUUUUAACAAGUCUAUUAUCAAAAAUGGUGAGCUCUAUUUAGUAAUCUAAUUCUUCAAAAUAGUUGAUAUUAUCAUAGAACGUAUUCAAAAUUCCAUUUUCAGUACACUAAAUUCAGAAUUUUAAUUAUCUACUUCAUUUUGGACCUACUAAGUUUAGUGCCGUAAUGAUGAAAUAAAAAGGUGACAGCUAAAAGUUUUGAAAGAAGAAAGAAUGGAUUCCUUAGGUAGUAGGUCAGAAGUAUGAAGUAAGCAAAGCGAGUUAAAAACAGAAUUGUCAUUGAGAAGGAGGCAGGCAGACUACGCCAGAAACAACCACGAUAACUUCUCACAGACGCUGCAUAAAUAGACUUGAACACAACACUGCAAAUGUGUUCUACACAUAAACAUUCUAUUACUUGGUCUAACAUUUAUGAUCGACACCAACUCCAUCCUCAGUUGCAACACAACACUACAUGACAUUAUUUAUUAACGAAAUAUGAAGGCAAUUUAGUUACACAAGCAAAUUCAAAAAGGGAAUCACUUACUUUGAAUCAGGAUGUUGUUGUGGGAUGUUCCUUUGCAUCUUAUAUUCAAGUGGUUCCAUUUCUGACUUGUCAAAAUAAGCAGGUUCCAUAUGCCAUUGAAUAUCUGAACGUUUACCAUAAUAGCCUAUGCUACUAAAGAACAACGGUAUCAUUCUUGCAAUAGACUCAACAGACUGUUUUACCAUUUUAGUGUGAUUUUCAUCACCCAUCUUUGAAUCAUAAACGUACAAACACCUGUGUUUUAUGCGAAAAACUACAAGAAUCCAAUGAAAACACUCACUAACAUUCACAGGGAUGAUGAUGUUAUCAACUCUAUCCCAAGGGAUAUUGGCAAUCAAAUUGUAACCCCGCAUAUAUUGACCAACACAAUGGUUAGGAGAUAUUGAACUCAUAUCACAAUUUGAUUCUUCCCACAAUAUUUCAGCUCCCAACAACCACGACAUAAAAACAGAGUCUGUGGUGACAUAUCUAGUACGAAUGUUUGUAGAGUGUUUAUCCUUUUUCCGUAAAUAGUACAUAAUGACAUCAACAUGCUGUUUCAAUAUAAACAAUCAGUAAAUAAUAACAUCAAAAUGAUAAAACAGGAUUAAAAAAUUACAUAUUGAUUGCAUACAAUAUGAUUAACUAUAGUUUAUAAAUAUACAUAUUAAUUGCAUACAAUAUGAUUAACAUUUUGUUCUUAAAAUACUGUGAUUUCAAAAACACAAUAACUGUAUAUAAUAGAUAUAUAAUAAGAUUUCUACAUUUUUUUUGAAUUAUAUACUCAUCGGUCACAUACAUAUAAAUUAAAUAAAUGACAUUAAUAUGUGAAUCUGGAAAUUCUUCUAUGGACAACGUCAUAUUAAUAUAAUACAUGAAGAAGAUAAAAUUUUAAAACAUACCUCAUCUUCCCAAGGUCUUCCAUCAUGAACCAUUAUGUGGAACCAAUCCAUUUUCUUUACUUUUACAAUUCCUAGAUCAAGUUCAGGCUUCAACUUAUCAUACACUGCGGUGUAUGCAGACUUCCUGCUUCAAUUAUGUUUUUAUAUAUAUAAAUCCAUAAUAUGGAAAAUAAUUGAUAAAAAUUGAGUAAAAUCAUCAUAAUGUAAUGUCAAAAGUACCUAUUUCGUCUCUGUGAUACAUUCUGAUACACCCAAUCUACAAACUUAUUUAUCAAAUCAGCAGAACAAUCAAACCCUUUAAACUUUUCAAAAGGAUGCUUAGCAUUAGAAAAAAUCAUCCUCUUUUCACAACUAUUUCCACCUUCAGGUAGCUGCACAUAUGGGGAUGUAUCAUACUUGCCUGAAUUUUUAAUUCGCAUUUGCAAUUGCGGUGUCACUGUUUCAUUAAGUAUUGGAUCCAAUGCAACCAUUUGUGUGUCUGUGAAUGGAGGAAAAUCAUCCAAUGUUGGUGUUUUAGUAGACGAAGUUCCCGGCACAUCAUAUUUAGAAACUAGAAUCAUAUAUAAUAUAACAAAUUAGUGCUUCAUCAUAGGACCUCAAUUCUACAACAAAAACAUUAACAUAUUUAGUACCUGUAUCUGACAAAUUCAUUCCAGAAGAAUCAUCUACCUCAUUUUCUGAUGCCACUGCAUUUUAAAAUGAUAAAAUUAUAUUCACUACAGGUAAUAAAAAUUAUCAACUUAUUAUAAAAAUUAGGUAUAACAACUAAUAAUAUGUAUAAAAGCAAGUUGAAUAGAAUUUAUAAAGGACUCAAUACCUGUAUCUGAAUUUUUCAUUCCAAAAGUAUCAACUGUUUGAUUUUGUUCAACAUCUAUAUUUAACAUGAACAAAUAUUUAGAAAAUAUCAGUAUUUCACUAUAAAUUCAUAUAAUUCUAUGAAAAAAAUUAUUGAGUAUAAAACAAGUAUGAAAACAGGUUGUUGCUAAUCUUCACUUUGUAUAAAUUUUGUAUAUAAAGUGAUAAUAAUAGAUUAACCAAAUAUCAAAGUAAUUUUUAAAGAACCAUACCUUAAUCGGGUGAAUUCUUUUCAAGAGAAUCGACUCCUUGAUUUUGUGUACAUUUUAAGUGGAACAAAUAUUUUAGGAAAAAGUAGUUUGCAAAUAACUCAUAUAGGCAGCUAUGAGACAUAAACAUAAACAUGAUAAUUAUAAAACUAAUAUAACAAUAGAUUUUCAACAUAUAUCAUCAAAAUAAUAUAAACCUUGAACUGGGAAAAACUUUUCAUGGGUUGGAGUUUCACUUGACUUCUGUUUUGAUGAUCUGAAUUCUUCAAUAAGCAACUUCAUUGAAUCAUCAAUAUAAGCUUUCAAAUCCUUUAUAUGAUCAUCAACUUUUGUCCUUAAAUCUUUCAAAUCUUCCCGGACCUAUGUAAGAAAGAAUAAACUAUCAAAACAUGUAUACGAUUAUAUAAACAUAGUAAAAUUUUCCCUUACAUUCACAAUUUCAUUCUUUAAUCUUAAAUAUCUUUCUUCAUCAGUUAAAACCAUCUUAACCCCUUCAUCCUGAUUAUUUGUGCUUUCUGGCAUGAUUGAAGGAUCCAUGUCAGCCAGCUCCACAUCUGUCAGUACUAUGUUUGAAAACUUGAUCUAGCAUUAAAAAUUCAUAUGAAAAAACAUUUCAAACAAAGAGAUUAUAGACAUAAUUCAAGAAAUAAAAUUCUUAUAAUCAAACCACAUGAACACACUUACCUGAUUUCCGUAUUUUCUAAACAUUGUAUUCUUUAAGAAUUCAAAAUAAAUCAACGAAUCAGAUGUCCGCCAAUUGAGUAUCCGCGGAGUGGUGGUACAUAUGCGAGUUGCAACAGAACGAUCAACCUUAGAGCAACACUCAUAAAACCAUAUUUGUAAGGCAAGAUGAAAUCCACCAAACUUGAAUGAUGAUGGAUUUUUUCCCAGUUUAUGGCUACAAUUUUUAAGCAGUGUGCGAAAACAAAGGUUCCCCCAUGAAUAAUCUUUAUACUCCCCAGUUUCAACCAAGUCAAAGUGCAAUUUCGAUACAAAAUUGCUGUUUGGUUCAGCAGAAAGUAAGAAAGUCUCAAUAAAGUAUACCAAUGCCAUUUUGAAGACAUCUCCAGGCUCUAUAAAAUCUUUGGCAUUAAAAGCAUUAAUAAAUUCCGACUUUCUAACUUGUUUUAUUCCAGGAAAGUACUGUGCGAGCAGCCUGUUUGGAGAAUCUGGAUCUGAAUAAAAAUCACUAUCCAAACCACAUUUUAACCCAGUGAUAACAGCAAAUUCUCUAAUUCCAAAUUUAAGCUCAGUAUCAUUUACAUUCACAAUGAACAUAUCAUCUCUAUCAUUCUUUGUUUCAACAAGCAAAAGGCUGCGUAAUAGUUGUGGCUGAACCUUUAUAUGUGGCAUGUCCAAAAAUAAACCAAAAGGAGAUUCCUUAAACUGUAGAAAUUGUUGGUCGUUAAGACGAUUCCUAAUGUCAUCACAAACAUCCAUAUUGGUGUAGGAACACCAAUGAGUAUAUUUCUUCUUUUCCUGGAGUAAAAAAAGGUACUUUUUAAAAAAAAUAAAAAAUAACUUGUGUAUACUUUUGAUAUAAAAAUUGAUCAUGAGCUAAUUCAAGAAAUAAAUUCAAGCAAUACAUACUAUAUACUAACAAACAAUAACAUUAUGAAUACGUUUGAUAUAAAAUUGGUAAUACCAAAGAGAUAAUCAAAAUAAAUUACUUGUUACAUGAUUUAAAAACAAAAGGAGAAAUGACCAUUUCCAUAGACACAAUAUACUCACAUACAACAACAUUAAUUCACACUGAUGUAUCUAAUUGAUAUAAUAUCAGAUUUUUUUUGGUUCUGAGAUAAUAAUGAAUUAUAAAAGUCAAUUCCAUACUUUAUAACCACAUGAUACUCAAAACCACAUCAAUAAACUCAAAUUCUUAUGCCAAAAUUGUAUAUACAAACGAACAUAAAUCAGACACAUACAAAAAUUUAUGUUUAAAUAUCUCCAUCAAUGAAAAUAACAUGCAAAGAGUAAAAUAAUAAAAUCAUGAAAAUAUGUUCAUUUAAUACCUUUGGAACAACUUUUCCACUUCUGAAAUUGAACUUCUUCGCGCGCACCUUAAUUUUUGGAUUUGGGGCUCUAGAAGUCUCACCCUUCAUAUAGUUCUUGUCCUUAAUGUAACUUGAUUCUGGCACAAAAUCUGAAUCCGAAUCAUCCGAACAUGUAUACACAACACUACUGCAUUUUCUUUUUUUUUCUUGUUGCUUGGUUGAACUAAUUUGAAUAGGAACAUUUUCACUUUCAUUAUUCUCCAAACAAUCGUUCUCAAGUGAUUGUGAUAUCAAAUUGAAGCUUGGAGGUUGACUCAAUCCAUGAUUGUUACUAAAUCUAGGGCUUUUUCUAGGGGAAAGGUUAGAUUUCAAAUAUCUCUUCAUGAUUGUUAAUAUAUAAUUUAAAAAACACAAAGACUAAGAAUGAAGGACAUGCAGAUAAUGGGAAAUUGAAAACAAACUUGAAGUUAUUCUCUGCACUAAACGUGUGUAGUCAAUCAAAUACAUAAUCUCACCACUUCCUAUGCACACUUUCAAAAACUGCUAACUUCUUAAUUAAUUAAUAAUCUGAAUUAAUUAAUAAAAAAUGGCUUAUUAAUUAAACGUGCAGACACAUACAAAAAGUUAGCAGAUUUAUUAAGUAAACUGCUAACUUUCAAAAAUGGCUUAUACAAAAAAUGGCUUAUUAAUUAUUUUAAAAAUGGCUUAUUAAUUAUUUAAAAAUGGCUUAUUAUUUAAUAAGGAAGCGUGUUCCUAGGCUCACUUUCGAAACAUGUGCAGACACCUACAAAAAAUCACCUUAAUUAAUUAUUGAUUUAAAUAUACAUUAAUUAUUAAAAAAAAGUCCAAUGGCUUUAUAAUUGAAACGUGUGCCAUUAGACUACUUUCUAGGAGCACUUUAAAAAACUAAAAAUAAAAUUAUAAAUAUAAAUUAAUUAUUAAAAUCAAAAAGCCUCAUUGAGAAACGUGUGCAGUAACCAUUUCCUAGAUACACGCUUCCAUUUUAAAUAACUAAACAAUCUAAAUAUAUAUUUACACGCUUCCAUAUUAAUUUACAUUAAAUAAUUUAAAUAAUUAUUUAUUAAUUAUUAAUUAAUUCAAAUCUGUCAUCAGUAGUAAUUAUUAUGUUAUAUUACUAAUUACUAAUAAGUACCGGUAGAAGAUGUAAUAUAUGUUCUAUUAUGUCUAUGUAAAUUAAUUAUUCCUUAAAUAAAUUAAUAUAACAUAGAGUAAAGUGCUGACUAGUAUUAAUGCUUGUAUCGAGCUAAAUUAUUUAUUAGAUUGAUUAUGUUAUAAAUCUUAAAUAAUAUUAAAGUAUAAUAUAGAGAUCUGAGAUCUCAUAAUUCAGAUUGUCGCUUUUAUUUUGAAGAUCAAAUGCACUCAUCACACGGUAGCUGGAGCUUACCAUUUGAGAAUCCUUCCAGCCAAUUUUUAGUCUUAAAAUAAAAAAUUAGCAACAACUUGCUGAGUUAAGAAACGCUUCAAUAACAAAAAUGUAUUCAAUGUAAUCUCGCAAUUAGUAAAGUUUGAAGAGGGUGGUGUGUACACAGUCUUAUCCUUAUCCUGAAAAGGUAGAAAAGUUGUUUCCAUUUGUCCCUAGACUCAAGUUGUGCAACACAAAAAUCGUAAAACAAGUAUAAAUAUAGUAAAUAAUCUAUACUAAAACAAAGGAGAAGAACAGUAAUAACAACAAAUAAUACGAUAAUCGAAAUCAAUGAGAUAAUAAAAUCGAAGAAUAAGAUAAUAUAAAAGUAAUAAAUCAAUACUGACAUGGAACUAAGCAACGCUCAUCCUAAUCUACAAAACUCACUGUCAUGUCCUUGAUAAACUACAAAUAUACCAUGUUCUAUCUAAUCAUCUCUAUGCAAAAUUCUUCGACUUACUUUUAUCUCUUCUCAUAGACAAACUAUAUGGUCAACUAAUUGAGUUAAAAAAUACACGUAAGGAUAAAGAUUUUGUGCUUGACCUCCUUUUCAUAUGUUUGAAGGAAAAUUGCUAAUCAAGAUAAUAGGCAUCGAAAAUUUGAACUUGUUGAAUUGGUAGCUUUUUCUCAAAUUAUUAUUAUCAUUUCCAGAAAAAAUAUACUUUACCCUUUCGUUAAUUUAGGUUGGAGAAUUUUGUAGAACACAAAUCAAAAGAUUGAAAGUGAGACAGGACAUCAAUUUAGGUAGAAUUGAAGGAAAAGGUUUUCCUUAAACCGUCCAAAAAUUCAGAACAGAGUUAAACUAAUAUUAAAAUAUGCAUGUGCUCAAAAAACUUGAAGCAGCUAAGAUGACGGUCCAUGCAUAACGCAUCUAGGACAUAGUCAACCCCAUGAUCACAUCGCGAUGACUUUUAUCGCAAGAAAAUAAUCUCUUAUAGUCACUUACAAAUAACCUUUUCCAGAUGUCUUGAAAAAAAAGACAAAAAACUAAAACAUUGUAAAAAUCUAUGAAAUCAUAGAUAGACUUAUAGCUACUAAGAUUCAUUUCCAUAUCAUAAAACUUGCACAGAUAAUGUGCUAUCAUGGACAUACCGGCAAAAAUAUAUGUGAUAUGCAUUCAGUUUUGGAACCAAAAUGUAUUUUUUUUCAUUAAUAAACGCAAAAGUUCAUGAGAAAACUUUUAGUCGGGAUACAGACAAGACCAACUACGUCCCGAAAUCAUGUCCAUGAACAGAUGAAAGUUUUCAACUUAUAAUCUUUGAGAUAUCUAGGCAUCAGCUCAAGACACAUUUUACAUCAAACUGACCAGGAUGUAACAAGAAACACACCUGCUAAAACAUAAGGCAUAUGAUAAAGCAGAAAACACGAUAUAUAUAUAAAUAUCAUUCGGUAACCUUCACGUCAGUUAGGUAGACUUGGCACUUGAUCGCACUGCCCCUGACAUAGAAACCAGGCAUUACCAUUAGACCAACCUUAGGCUUCUCGUUUUCGUCUACAGUGAAGUUUUCCAGAACACUUUCCAUAUAAACCUCUGAGAAGUCGGUUCCCUUCUUGACUUGGAAAACCCUAACUGGAGGAUCAAAUGAAUAUGCCAACCUAUGCAAAAGCCAAAUUGACUUGGUUAGUUUCAGAAAGGCCUGAUAGAAAGCUGUUCUUGGGUGUCCACCACUCAUAAUAUAGUUUCGCUGAUCCAAGUUCCCAAAAAAUGCAGACUCCAUCUUCGAAUGAACCACCUCCAAAUACUUCUUCCGGCAAAAGUUCCCAAAAAGGGACUUUGGAUUUUGGACUACAACAUCCAGUGGAUCUGAUUCCCGUAAUGCAAGAUACUGGUGGUAAAAGCUAUCAUUGGGGACAGCUGAAUUCUCAUAUUUCACACAGAAGAACUCAUUCUGAAAUUCAGCGAACAUUCUUUGGCAGAUAUGUGAUUCAAACGCAUAUUUCUUGUGAGCUCUCUUUGCAUAAACUAGAUCUGGCUCUAUGGAGUUUGCUGCAGCAUCAAGAUCCCAACCAGCAGCUUUCAUCAUGUUGAUCAGUGGCUUAGAGAAGUCGUGAAUGGCCCUAUAAGCAGCUUCCACGGCUGACCUGAAAAGCUCAGGAGUUAGGUCCACAGAGAAAUGCCCAUCCUCGUUAACUGCAUUCUCUGAUUCUUUCGCUGACAAACCCCUGAGCUUAAGGUUUUUCUCCAAUUUAAUCCGCUUCUGACUGGCCUCUAGUAUCUGCUGCUGCAGCUGAAGAAUCUCAGAAUCUUUGUUCUGAAUCUCAGAUUGAAACUUCUUCACCAUAACUUCAUAUGUUUUCAACAAGCUCUGCUGUUCUUGGAUCUCUGCAGCCAAGCGAGAGUCCUGAGGUGAAACACACACAGGUUUGGGAUUAUGCUCCCUGUAGAAGUGCUUCAGUUCAGAGAGAUUCUUCAGCUCUGAAAUUACAAGUUUAUCGGCAGCUUGGAUUUUAUCAGGGUCGUAAGGAGUAUGAGCAGAUUGGAGUUGAAUGUAGGCAGACUUCAGGGAAGAGAUAUUUGUAAAAAUCCUAGAUACCACAGCUUCAACUGCUUCAGGAUUUUGGUUUGCGGCUUCCUCCAUAGGUUGUGGAUGGACCUUCUGGCUGUUGCUCUCACGGAGUUGUGUAUCUUUUGCACCACUGGGUUGCAUAGCUACUUGUAAUGAGAAUAGAUUAGUCUAACCCCAACCCCUAAAAGUUUGCAGUGAUUAACCUGUA